rnacentral:rRNA from 1 species
GUCCACACAGUAACGAUGAAUACUCGCUGUUGCGAUAUACAGUAAGCGGCCAAGCGAAGCAUUAAGUAUUCCACCUGGGAGUACGCCGGCAACGGUGAAACUCAAAGGAAUUGACGGGGCCCGCACAAGCGGAGGAACAUGUGGUUAAUUCGAUGAUACGCGAGGAACCUUACCCGGGCUUGAAUUGCAGAGGAACAUAGUUGAAAGAUUAUGGCCGCAAAGGUCUCUGUGAAAGGUGCUGCAUGGUUGUCGU